GGGUGACACCAAAAAAUCAGUGUUGCACGUGGAAACUGAAAAAAAAGAACGUUAUGUAAUAAGAUGUGGUACAGAAAGGUAAGACCAAAGAACCCCUUUCUUAUUAUGAUAAUUAAAUUUCUGACUCUGGUCCCAGAAUAAUAAAAUAUCAAAUAUCAAAAGCUUAUGUACCAUGAUUUUGCUUCCUCUAUAAGUGGCACAUCUUUAUUGUCCAUUAUAUUUUGUCCAAAGAACUAAAGGAUCUGCAGCCUCUAGCUUCACAUACUUUGCAUUAUCAGGAUCAGAAAAUAAAAUAAUUCCUUAAGUCACAAGCUUCCCUGGGCAGUUUUACUACUACCCUUCUGCACAACACAUUAAAGGCAUAUCAUACAAUUGUUCAGCAGCAAAAGCAAAGUUUACAUAUUACAUCUUUUUUUUUCUUUCUUUCUUUUUUGACAGAGUCUUGCUCUGUUGCCGCCCAGGCUGGAGUACAGUGGCUUACGCCUGUAAUCCCAGCACUUUGGGAGGCCAAGGCAGGUGGAUCAUUUGAGGUCAGGAGUUUGAGACCUGCCUGGCCAAUAUAGUGAAACCCCGUCUCUACGAAAAAUACAAAAAUUAGCAGCGCGUGGUGGAUACAUGCCUGUAAUCCCAGCUACUCGGGAGGCUGGGGCAGGAGAACUGCUUGAACCCUGGAGGCGGAGGUUGCAGUGAGCUGAGAUUGUGCCACUGCACUCCAGCCAGGGCGACAGAGUGACGCUCCAUCUCAAAAUAAAGAAAUAAAGGAAUGAAAUGAAAUGAAAAGGAAAGAAAGAAAGAAAGAAAAAGGAAGGAAGGAAGGAAAGACAGACAUCUAAGAUAUAUCAGUGGGUACAAGAGGGUGGGUGGGGUACAGAGGGAGUGGGAAAAUCACUAUAAAGGGUAAAAGUAGCAAAAUACAAUGAGAAGGGCCUU
rnacentral:antisense_RNA from 1 species